rnacentral:rRNA from 1 species
AUUGAACGCUGGCGGAAUGCUUUACACAUGCAAGUCGAACGGUAGAGGGGGCAACCCCUCGAGAGUGGCGAACGGGUGAGUAAUAUAUCGGAACGUGCCCAGUCGUGGGGGAUAACGUAGCGAAAGUUACGCUAAUACCGCAUACGAUCUACGGAUGAAAGCGGGGGACCGCAAGGCCUCGCACUGUUGGAGCGGCCGAUGUCGGAUUAGCUAGUUGGCGGGGUAAAAGCCCACCAAGGCGACGGUCCGUAGCUGGUCUGAGAGGACGACCAGCCACACUGGAACGCGGACACGGUCCAGACUCCUACGGGAGGCAGCAGUGGGGAAUUUUGGACAAUGGGGGCAACCCUGAUCCAGCCAUGCAGCGUGAGUGAAGAAGGCCUUCGGGUUGUAAAGCUCUUUCGCAAGGGAAGAAAACUUACUUUCUAAUAAAGAGUGAGGUUGACGGUACCGUAAGAAUAAGCACCGGCUAACUACGUGCCAGCCGCCGCGGUAA